rnacentral:rRNA from 1 species
CAGUCGCCACGGUAAUACGUAGGGUGCGAGCGUUAAUCGGAAUUACUGGGCGUAAAGCGUGCGCAGGCGGUUAUAUAAGACAGUUGUGAAAUUCCCGGGCUCAACCUGGGAACUGCAUCAGUGACUGUAUAGCUAGAGUACGGUAGAGGGGGAUGGAAUUCCGCGUGUAGCAGUGAAAUGCGUAGAUAUGCGGAGGAACACCGAUGGCGAAGGCAAUCCCCUGGACCUGUACUGACGCUCAUGCACGAAAGCGUGGGGAGCAAACAGGAUUAGAGACCCGCGUAGUCCCUGUCUCUUAUAC